rnacentral:rRNA from 1 species
UACGAAGGGGGCUAGCGUUGCUCGGAAUUACUGGGCGUAAAGCGAGCGUAGUCGGUUAUUUAAGUCGGGUGUGAAAGCCCCGGGCUCAACCUGGGAAUUGCAUUCGAUACUGGAUAGCUAGAGUUCGGCAGAGGGAAGCGGAAUUUCCGGUGUAGCGGUGAAAUGCGUAGAUAUCGGAAGGAACAUCAGUGGCGAAAGCGGCUCCUGGACCAGAACUGACGAUCAGGCUCGAAAGCGUGGGGAGCAAACAGGG